UACGUAGGUGACAAGCGUUGUCCGGAUUUACUGGGCGUAAAGAGCGCGCAGGCGGUCGAUCAAGUCGAGUGUGAAAGCCCCCGGCUCAACUGGGGAGGGUCAUUCGAUACUGAUCGACUCGAAGGCAGGAGAGGGUAGUGGAAUUCCCGGUGUAGUGGUGAAAUGCGUAGAUAUCGGGAGGAACACCAGUGGCGAAGGCGACUACCUGGCCUGUUCUUGACGCUGAGGCGCGAAAGCUAGGGGAGCAAACAGGG
rnacentral:rRNA from 1 species